UACGUAGGGGGCGAGCGUUGUCCGGAUUUAUUGGGCGUAAAGAGCGUGUAGGCGGUUCGGUAAGUCUGUCGUGAAAUCCUGAGGCUCAACCUUGGACGUGCGAUGGAUACUGCCGGGCUAGAGGAUGGUAGAGGCGAGUGGAAUUCUCGGUGUAGCGGUGAAAUGCGCAGAUAUCAGGAAGAACACCCGUGGCGAAGGCGGCUCUCUGGAACGCAACUGACGCUGAGACGCGAAAGCGUGGGGAGCAAACAGG
rnacentral:rRNA from 1 species